rnacentral:lncRNA from 1 species
CGGCUUAUUUUUGGCACCCCGAGGCCCCUCGCAAAGUCUCGCCCCAUUCCGAGUGCGGCGGACGAACUUCGCCCGCGCCCCCCACCAAGGCUAUAGCCCACCCGUUUUUUGGCCAUUUUUCCGCUGGGGGAUUUUGGCACCACGACCUUCGGGCGCUUAUUUCUGGGCGCGGCUUUGCCCGCGGCUUAUUUUUGGCACCCCGAGGGCCCUCGCAAAGUCUCGCCGCAUUCCGAGUCCGGGGGACGAACGUCGCCCGCGCCCCCCACCAAGGCUAUAGCCCACCCGUUUUUUGGCCAUUUUUCCGCUAGGGGGUUUUGGCACCACGACCUUCGGGCGCUUAUGUUUGGGCACGGCUUUGCCCGCGGCUUAUUUUUGGCACCCCGAGGCCCCUCGCAAAGUCUCACCCCAUUCCGAGUCCGGCGGACGAACUUCGCCCGCGCCCCCCACCAAGGCUAUAGCCCACCCGUUUUUUGGCCAUUUUUCCGCUGGGGGGUUUUGGAACCACGACCUUCGGGCGCUUAUUUUUGGGCGCGACUUUGCCCGCGGCUUAUUUUUGGCACCCCGAGGCCCCUCGCAAAGUCUCGCCCCAUUCCGAGUCCGGCGGACGAACUUCGCCCGCGCCCCCCACCAAGGCUAUAGCCCACCCGUUUUUUGGCCAUUUUUCCGCUGGGGGGUUUUGGCACCACGACCUUCGGGCGCUUAUUUUUGGGCGCGGCUUCGCCCGCGGCUUUUUUUUGGCACCCCGAGGCCCCUCGCAAAGUCUCGCCGCAUUUCGAGUCCGGCGGACGAACGUCGCCCGCGCCCCCCACCAAGGCUAUAGCCCACCCGUUUUUUGGCCAUUUUUCCGCUUGGGGUUUUGGCACCACGAACUUCCGGCGCUUAUGUUUGGGCGCGGCUUUGCCCGCCGCUUAAUUUUGGCACCCCGAGGCCCCUCGCAAAGUCUCGCCGCAUUCCGAGUCCGGCGGACGAACUUCGCCCGCGCCCCCCACCAAGGCUAUAGCCCACCCGUUUUUUGGCCAUUUUUCCGCUGGGGGGUUUUGGCACCACGACCUUCGGGCGCUUAUUUUUGGGCGCGGCUUUGCCCGCGGCUUAUUUUUGGCACCCCGAGGCCCCUCGCAAAGUCUCGCCGCAUUCCGAGUCCGGCGGACGAACUUCGCCCGCGCCCCCCACCAAGGCUAUAGCCCACCCGUUUUUUGGCCAUUUUUCCGCUGGGGGGUUUUGGCACCACGACCUUCGGGCGCUUAUUUUUGGGCGCGGCUUUGCCCGCGGCUUAUUUUUGGCACCCCGAGGCCCCUCGCAAAGUCUCGCCGCAUUCCGAGUCCGGCGGACGAACUUCCCCCGCGCCCCCCACCAAGGCUAUAGCCCACCCGUUUUUUGGCCAUUUUUCCGCUGGGGGGUUUUGGCACCACGACCUUCGGGCGCUUAUUUCUGGGCGCGGCUUUGCCCGCGGCUUAUUUUUGGCACCCCGAGGCCCCUCGCAAAGUCUCGCCGCAUUCCGAGUCCGGCGGACGAACUUCGCCCGCGCCCCCCACCAAGGCUAUAGCCCACCCGUUUUUUGGCCAUUUUUCCGCUGGGGGGUUUUGGCACCACGACCUUCGGGCGCUUAUUUUUGGGCGCGGCUUUGCCCGCGGCUUAUUUUUGGCACCCCGAGGCCCCUCGCAAAGUCUCGCCGCAUUCCGAGUCCGGCGGACGAAGUUCGCCCGCGCCCCCCACCAAGGCUAUAGCCCACCCGUUUUUUGGCCAUUUUUCCGCUGGGGGGUUUUGGCACCACGACCUUCGGGCGCUUAUUUUUGGGCGCGGCUUUGCCCGCGGCUUAUUUUUGGCACCCCGAGGCCCCUCGCAAAGUCUCACCCCAUUCCGAGUCCGGCGGACGAACUUCGCCCGCGCCCCCCACCAAGGCUAUAGCCCACCCGUUUUUUGGCCAUUUUUCCGCUGGGGGGUUUUGGAACCACCACCUUCGGGCGCUUAUUUCUGGGCGCGGCUGUGCCCGCGGCUUAUUUUUGGCACCCCGAGGCCCCUCGCAAAGUCUCGCCGCAUUCCGAGUCCGGCGGACGAACGUCGCCGGCGCCCCCCACCAAGGCUAUAGCCCACCCGUUUUUUGGCCAUUUUUCCGCUAGGGGGUUUUGGCACCACGACCUUCGGGCGCUUAUGUUUGGGCGCGGCUUUGCCCGCGGCUUAUUUUUGGCACCCCGAGGCCCCUCGCAAAGUCUCGCCCCAUUCCGAGUCCGGCGGACGAACUUCGCCCGCGCCCCCCACCAAGGCUAUAGCCCACCCGUUUUUUGGCCAUUUUUCCGCUGGGGGGUUUUGGAACCACGACCUUCGGGCGCUUAUUUUUGGGCGCGGCUUUGCCCGCGGCUUAUUUUUGGCACCCCGAGGCCCCUCGCAAAGUCUCGCCCCAUUCCGAGUCCGGCGGACGAACUUCGCCCGCGCCCCCCACCAAGGCUAUAGCCCACCCGUUUUUUGGCCAUUUUUCCGCUGGGGGGUUUUGGCACCACGACCUUCGGGCGCUUAUUUUUGGGCGCGGCUUCGCCCGCGGCUUAUUUUUGGCACCCCGAGGCCCCUCGCAAAGUCUCGCCGCAUUUCGAGUCCGGCGGACGAACGUCGCCCGCGCCCCCCACCAAAGCUAUAGCCCACCCGUUUUUUGGCCAUUUUUCCGCUUGGGGUUUUCGCACCACGACCUUCGGGCGCUUAUUUUUGGG